AAAUCAAGCAAAAAACCGAGCCCGACAGAACUAAAGGAGACUCCAAAACCAAACAAACCCCAAAAAAAAAAGAAAUGCGUCAUAUCCUAAAAUGCAUGUGGUAUUUUUGUUUUGAAUUUCUU
rnacentral:ribozyme from 1 species